CGCGUAGGCGGCUUUGCAAGUGACGGGUGAAAGCCCUCGGCUUAACCGAGGAACUGCCUGUCAGACUGUGAGGCUUGAGACCGGGAGAGGUGAGUGGAAUUCCCAGUGUAGCGGUGAAAUGCGUAGAUAUUGGGAGGAACACCAGUGGCGAAGGCGGCUCACUGGACCGGAACUGACGCUGAGGCGCGAAAGCGUGGGGAGCAAACA
rnacentral:rRNA from 1 species